rnacentral:rRNA from 1 species
CCUACGGGAGGCAGCAGUGAGGAAUAUUGGUCAAUGGACGAGAGUCUGAACCAGCCAAGUAGCGUGAAGGAUGACUGCCCUAUGGGUUGUAAACUUCUUUUAUAAAGGAAUAAAACGAGGCACGUGUGCCUUUUUGCAUGUACUUUAUGAAUAAGGAUCGGCUAACUCCGUACCAGCAGCCGCGGUAAUACGGAGGAUCCGAGCGUUAUCCGGAUUUAUUGGGUUUAAAGGGAGCGUAGAUGGGUUGUUAAGUGUGUUGUGAAAGUUGGCGGCUCAACCGUGAAAUUGCAGUUGAUACUGGGAGUCUUGAGUACAGUUGAGGUAGGCGGAAUUCGUGGUGUAGCGGUGAAAUGCUUAGAUAUCACGAAGAACCCCGAUUGCGAAGGCAGCUUACUAAACUGUGACUGACAUUGAUGCUCGAAAGUGUGGGUAUCAAACAGGAUUAGAUACCCCUGUAGUC